rnacentral:rRNA from 1 species
AUUGAACGCUGGCGGCAGGCCUAACACAUGCAAGUCGAGCGGAUGAAGGGAGCUUGCUCCUGGAUUCAGCGGCGGACGGGUGAGUAAUGCCUAGGAAUCUGCCUGGUAGUGGGGGAUAACGUCCGGAAACGGGCGCUAAUACCGCAUACGUCCUGAGGGAGAAAGUGGGGGAUCUUCGGACCUCACGCUAUCAGAUGAGCCUAGGUCGGAUUAGCUAGUUGGUGGGGUAAAGGCCUACCAAGGCGACGAUCCGUAACUGGUCUGAGAGGAUGAUCAGUCACACUGGAACUGAGACACGGUCCAGACUCCUACGGGAGGCAGCCGUGGGGAAUAUUGGACAAUGGGCGAAAGCCUGAUCCAGCCAUGCCGCGUGUGUGAAGAAGGUCUUCGGAUUGUAAAGCACUUUAAGUUGGGAGGAAGGGCAGUAAGUUAAUACCUUGCUGUUUUGACGUUACCAACAGAAUAAGCACCGGCUAACUUCGUG